ACAGGGGAGAAGAAGAAGGUGCAGGAGGAGGGAGGAGAAGCUACCAUGGGUGAGGAGUCAAGAAAACAUGGCCCUGAGGGCUGACAGAUUGGAGUUAAGAGCAGCUCAGAUAAAACAUAUGCUUUAGAUCCCUUUGGACUUAAUUUGUAUGACAGAAGCCUCUGUUUCUGCGAUUCCAAUUCGGCUGGGACGCAGCAAAAGAAUAGACUCAGUGACCUGAUGAGGUUCAUCUGGGAAGCAGGGGAAUCAAAGAGGAGGCUGGAUGGGCAGGGAUUGAUUUUCUGAGGCCCUGCAGUUCCUCUGAUAUUGGGUAGGGGGAGCUAGCUGGUCUCGCUGCCCCCUUCUCCUUCAGGAGGACCCUGAAAGGAAUGACCACUCCCAGCUUCCCCCUUUCUCAGGAGCCUCACUCAAGGUCCUCCUGUCUACCAGCUUCCCAAAUCCUCCAUAUAAACUUGGCUGGAUAAAUCCCCCCUCCCCCAGCCCGGUUGAAAGGAAAAAAAAAAAGUAAGCUCAAUAAAUGAAUUUUGCAUCCAGGU
rnacentral:lncRNA from 1 species